CGGCGUGGAUUAGGCAUGCAAGUCGAGCGAUCUCGCAAGAGAUAGCGGCAAAAGGGUGAGUAACACGUAAGUAAUCUUCCUUUAAGGCGGGGAUAGCACCGUGAAAGCGGUGGUAAUACCCGAUAACAUAAGUGACCCGCAUGGGUUGUUUAUUAAAGACGGGGACCGUAAGGCCUGUCACUUAGAGAUGAGCUUGCGUACCAUCAGCUAGUUGGUAGGGUAACGGCCUACCAAGGCUAAGACGGUUAGCUGGUCUGAGAGGAUGGUCAGCCACACUGGGACUGAGACACUGCCCAGACUCCUACGGGAGGCUGCAGUCGAGAAUAUUUAGCAAUGGACGAAAGUCUGACUAUGCGACGCCGCGUGCAGGAUGAAGGUCUUCGGAUUGUAAACUGCUUUUGUUAGGGAAGAAACCUGUAUUAUUAACAGUAAUACAGCUGACGGUACCUGGCGAAUAAGCCACGGCAAACUCCGUGCCAGCAGCCGCGGUAAUACGGAGGUGGCAAGCGUUACUCGGAAUUAUUGGGUGUAAAGGGCAGGUAGGUGGUCAUGUAAGUGAGGGGUGAAAUCCCACGGUUCAAUCGUGGAACUGCCUUUCAAACUGCUUGACUUGAGAGUGUUAGGGGAGAAUGGAAUUCCCGGUGU
rnacentral:rRNA from 1 species